UUAGUGGCGGACGGGUGAGUAACGCGUGGGUAACCUGCCUUGUACUGGGGGACAACGGUUGGAAACGACUGCUAAUACCGCAUAAGCGCCCAGCUUCGCAUGAAGCAGUGUGAAAAACUCCGGUGGUACAAGAUGGACCCGCGUCUGAUUAGCUGGUUGGUGAGGUAACGGCCCACCAAGGCGACGAUCAGUAGCCGGCCUGAGAGGGUGAACGGCCACAUUGGGACUGAGACACGGCCCAA
rnacentral:rRNA from 1 species